UAAUAGCACGAUUUAGCUGUAAAAGGAAUGGCAUUUCCUUAUGUUCUCAUCCUCUAGAAAUGCAAAGGAAGAUGGCGCUAAGCUGGAAGAGUCUGAUGGAACCUUGGACAUUUGAACAGUUCCAGGAGAUGAAGAUUAAUUUCCUGUGAGCGUGUAUUUUUUCCUAUCAUGGGGCAGGUCCGAGUGGAGGUGUUACUCAAUCCAGCGGAAACCAUGUGGAAGAGUGUGCUCCUUUGCCCUAAAACACUGUGCCACUGUGACACUUUGACUACACUUCUUCAUGCCAUGGACUCACCUCUGUGAUCCUCUCUCUUUCCUCCUGCUUGCCCAGUUUCAGCUCUGGAACAAUUCCUGUUGGCAGCCUCCUUUACACCAGAAUGCUGAAUGUUUUGGGCUAGCUGGCCCACAAGAAGGAGGAGGAUAUGCUGAUGACAGCAUGUUCAGGCCUGUGUAUUCAACCAAUGUGUUAGACUAGGGAUCCAUG
rnacentral:lncRNA from 1 species